rnacentral:rRNA from 1 species
AUGGCUCAGAACGAACGCUGGCGGCGCGUUUAAGCAUGCAAGUCGAGCGGCAAGGGCCUUCGGGCCCCUAGAGCGGCGGACGGGUGAGUAACACGUGGACAAUCUGCCCCCCGGCCCGGGAUAGCCCAGGGAAACCUGGAUUAAUACCGGAUGGGACGGGACCCGCGAUGGCGGGACCCGGGAAAGGCGCUGCGGCGCCGCCGGGGGAUGAGUCUGCGUCCCAUUAGCUAGACGGCGGGGUAACGGCCCACCGUGGCGACGAUGGGUAGCCGGCCUGAGAGGGUGGACGGCCACAUUGGAACUGAGACACGGUCCAGACUCCUACGGGAGGCAGCAGCUAAGAAUCUUCCGCAAUGGGCGAAAGCCUGACGGAAGCGACGCCGCGUGAACGAAGAAGGCCGUGAGGUCGUAAAGUUCUUUUCGGGAGGGGAACAACCGUGGCAGGGAAUGGCCGCGGGAUGACGUGAAUCCCGGAAUAAGCCCCGGCUAACUACGUGCCAGCCGCCGC